rnacentral:rRNA from 1 species
CCUACGGGAGGCAGCAGUGGGGAAUAUUGCUCAAUGGGCGAAAGCCUGACGCAGCGACGCCGCGUGAGGGAUGAAGGUCUUCUGAUCGUAAACCUCUUUCAGCAGGGAAACACGUUCACUGUGCUAAUCAGCACUGAAUUUACGGUACCUGCAAAGGAAGCCCCGGCGAACUCCGUGCCAGCAGCCGCGGUAAUACGGAGGAUGCGAGCGUUAUCCGGAUUUAUUGGGGUUAAAGGGUGCGUAGGCGGUCCGUUAAGUCAGCGGUAAAAUUGCGGGGCGCAAACCCGUCGAGCCGUUGAAACUGGCAGACUUGAGUUGGCGAGAAGUACGCGGAAUGCGCGGUGUAGCGGUGAAAUGCAUAGAUAUCGCGCAGAACUCCGAUUGCGAAGGCAGCGUACCGGCGCCAGACUGACGCUGAGGCACGAAAGCGUGGGGAUCGAACAGGAUUAGAUACCCUAGUAGUC